rnacentral:rRNA from 1 species
AUUGAACGCUGGCGGCAGGCCUAACACAUGCAAGUCGAGCGGAUGAGGGUAGCUUGCUAUCUGAUUCAGCGGCGGACGGGUGAGUAAUGCCUAGGAAUCUGCCUGGUAGUGGGGGACAACGUUUCGAAAGGAACGCUAAUACCGCAUACGUCCUACGGGAGAAAGUGGGGGAUCUUCGGACCUCACGCUAUCAGAUGAGCCUAGGUACGAUUAGCUAGUUGGUGAGGUAAAGGCUCACCAAGGCGACGAUCGUUAACUGGUCUGAGAGGAUGAUCAGUCACACUGGAACUGAGACACGGUCCAGACUCCUACGGGAGGCAGCAGUGGGGAAUAUUGGACAAUGGUCGAAAGCCUGAUCCAGCCAUGCCGCGUGUGUGAAGAAGGUCUUCGGAUUGUAAAGCACUUUAAGUUGGGAGGAAGGGCAGUAAGUUAAUAACUGCCAGCUGUGACGUUACUCGCAGAAGAAGCACCGGCUAACUCCGUGCCAGCCGCCGCCGUAACAC